UACAGCAAUUGAUGGAUGCCUUGGCGUCAUCAGGCGACGAAGGACGCAGCAAGCUGCGAUAAGCUUCGGGGAGCGGCACGCACGCUUUGAUCCGGAGAUUUCCGAAUGGGGCAACCCAGUGCAGGUAAUUCUGCAUUACUCCUGUCUGAAUACAU
rnacentral:rRNA from 1 species